AUUACAAUUUCAUUAAAUGAUGGAGUAAAAAAUAUGAAUAGUAAAAUGAUGUUUAAUUUUCAUAAACUAAUAAACUUGGUGAUCCAUCGGUUUAUUGUAAAUCUAGAAUCCUGAAUUGUGUCAUAGCAAGUGGGUGCAAAUGAAAUAUUGCUCUGAUCCCACCAUCAAUAUUCCAAUUCCAACAAACCAAUUACCGAGGCAAAUUACGGCACAAUCUGAAAAUUUCUGAAAACAAUACCUUAUUUUUCUCUACAGGAAGAAUGUCGUUUUAUCUUCAAUUAUGAGAGAAGCAACACAUGGGAUAUCAGAAAGCUGGACAAGAAAACGAUGGAGACUAUGCAACUUAUGUGAGAGACCUGACCCCACAAUAAUGGACUUGAUUGGAAUGUGACGUCAUAUCUUAUGUCAUUUUUAUUAGCCUUAUUCUAUCCUUUUUUAUCCACCUCUAUUUACAUAAUAUGGAUACACUAUUCUUUAUAUAUAAAGUAAAGGCCUAAUUACUCAAAAACCCCCCACCUUUCACUUUGUUUUCGUUUAUACCCUGACCUAGGAAAAAUGUCAUAAAUACUACUGACCUUGUCAUUAUGUUUCGCCCGUACCCUCGAGGUAUUAAAUUGAUCUCUUUUCAUUUGAAAAAGAGUUUAAAAUAA